rnacentral:rRNA from 1 species
GUAGGUGGCAAGCGUUGUCCGGAAUUAUUGGGCGUAAAGCGCGCGCAGGCGGUUUUUUAAGUCUGAUGUGAAAGCCCACGGCUCAACCGUGGAGGGUCAUUGGAAACUGGAGAACUUGAGUACAGAAGAGGAAAGCGGAAUUCCACGUGUAGCGGUGAAAUGCGUAGAGAUGUGGAGGAACACCAGUGGCGAAGGCGGCUUUCUGGUCUGUAACUGACGCUGAGGCGCGAAAGCGUGGGGAGCAAACAGGAUUAGAUACCCUGGUAGUCCACGCCGUAAACGAUGAGUGCUAAGUGUUAGGGGGUUUCCCGCCCCCCUUAGUGCUGCAGCUAACGCAUUAAGCACUCCGCCUGGGGGAGUACGGCCGCAAGGCUG